AAAGAUGACUGCCUUAGUUAGGAGUCCGCGGUCAAGGCUACAAGCAAGAACAAUAGCUCCUCCAACCACUAGAAGCUUAGGUAUAUUUUUCCCUAAUGGUUUCUCUGAUGAAUUUGAAAUUUCAACCGCUGAUAAAUCAGUGUCAUUGUCUUCCAAGGACCUCAGGUAGUCUGGACUUACUUUGGUGUUGAUCCGAGCCAUGAAUCCACACCGUGACAAUGGAUCUCCGGAUGCUCUCUGCUUCUGAUACGCACGCAAACCAGGGUCGAUUUUCUUGAC
rnacentral:lncRNA from 1 species